rnacentral:rRNA from 1 species
UACGUAGGGCGCAAGCGUUGUCCGGAAUUAUUGGGCGUAAAGAGCUCGUAGGCGGUUUGUCGCGUCUGCUGUGAAAACCUAGGGCUUAACCCUGGGCUUGCAGUGGAUACGGGCAGACUAGAGGUAGGUAGGGGAGAAUGGAAUUCCUGGUGUAGCGGUGAAAUGCGCAGAUAUCAGGAGGAACACCGGUGGCGAAGGCGGUUCUCUGGGCCUUACCUGACACUGAGGAGCGAAAGCGUGGGGAGCGAACAGG